AUGGAUUUUGGGAUGGAUUUUGGGAUGGAUUUUGGGAUGGAUUUUGGGAUGGAUUUUGGGAUGGAUUUUGGGAUGGAUCCCGGGGGGAUUUUGGGAUGGAUUUUGGGAUGGAUUUUGGGAUGGAUUUUGGGAUGGAUUUUGGGAUGGAUUUUGGGAUGGAUUUUGGGAUGGAUCCCGGGGGGAUUUUGGGAUGGAUUUUGGGAUGGAUUUUGGGAUGGAUUUUGGGAUGGAUUUUGGGAUGGAUUUUGGGAUGGAUUUUGGGAUGGAUCCCGGGGGGAUUUUGGGAUGGAUUUUGGGAUGGAUUUUGGGAUGGAUUUUGGGAUGGAUUUUGGGAUGGAUUUUGGGAUGGAUUUUGGGAUGGAUCCCGGGGGGAUUUUGGGAUGGAUUUUGGGAUGGAUUUUGGGUGGGUCCCGGGGUGGGAGGGGUCGCACCGGGCAGGGACCCCGGGGUGCUCGGGGCACGGGGAGGUCACAGCCUUGGGGACACCGCCAGGAGCUCGGUGACAGCUCGGGGGACAUUCCCAAGAGCUGUGGCCGCUCAGGUCUGGUGGCCGCUCAGGUGACAUCGCUGGGAGCUUGGUGGCCGCUCAGGUGACAUCCCGGGGACCUUGGUGGCCGCUCAGGUGACAUCACCAGGAGCCUGGUGGCGCCUCAGGUGACAUCGCUGGGAGCUUGGUGGCCGCUCAGGUGACAUCCCGGGGAGCUUGGUGGCCGCUCAGGUGACAUUCUCCAGCCCGGUGGCCCCUCAGGUGACACCCCCCCAGCCCAGGGCCACCCUCCAGCUCACCCCAAAAAAGCCCUGGGGGAGCUCUGGGGAGCGGUGUCCCCUGGCGGGGGAGGCGCUGGGGACACUUGGGGACAUUUCUGAGCACAGUGGAGCCCUCCCCAUUUUAGGGGAAAAAUUGGGGGAUUUUGGGGGAGUGCAGGAGGAAGAGGAGCCCUCCCCAUUUUAGGGGAAAUUUUGGGGAUUUUUGGGGGUGUUGGGAUGGGCAGGAGGAAGAGGAUCCCUCCCCAUUUUAGGGGAAAUUUUGGGGAUUUUUGGGGGUGUUGGGAUGGGCAGGAGGAAGAGGAGCCCUCCUCGUUCUGGGGGGAAAUUUUGGGGGGCGCAGGCCCCCCCCCCCCCCCCCCCCCCCCCCCCCCCCCCCCCCCCCCCCCCCCCCCCCCCCCCCCCCCCCCCCCCCCCCCCCCCCCCCCCCCCCCCCCCCCCCCCCCCCCCCCCC
rnacentral:lncRNA from 1 species